AUAAGCUGACGAGUCCCGAAUAGGACGAAACGUGCGUCCUGGAU
rnacentral:hammerhead_ribozyme from 1 species